GAGAGCUGAGAAGCAAAGAAUCAAAGGUCCAGGAGCGCUGCUGCCACCGGGCCGGUGGCACUCCUUUGGCAGCGCUCCUCCUGCCGCGCACCCCCAGGGAUGGUCUUGCGCACCCCCUGGGGUGCGUGCACCCCACUUUGGAGACCACUGCU